rnacentral:rRNA from 1 species
AGCUCUAAUAGCGUAUAUUAAAGUUGUUGCGGUUAAAAAGCUCGUAGUUUAAAUUCGGUGGGCGAAGUUGAUGCCGUCGGGUGGAGACACUCGGCGGUGUCGUCGUCCGCAUACAAUUUGUUGCGUCGACUCUCCCGCUCAUUCACUUGGGUGGGAUUCCGAGUUACGUGACCUUUUACUUUGAGUAAAUUAGAGUGUUCAAAGCAGACAAACCUUGUCAGUCAUUGAAUAUUGUAGCAUGGGAUAAUGAAAUAAGACUUUGAUUUUAUUUUUUUAUUGGUUUCUAAAAUCACAAGUAAUGAUUAAUAGGGACAGUUGGGGGCAUUAGUAUUUAAAUGUCAGUGGUGAAAUACUUGGAUUUUUUAAAGACUAACUAGUGCGAAAGCAUUUGUCAAGGAUG